AGUUGAAGCAUAUGUCCUGCGAGCUUAGGGGUGCUACAAGUUGACCACUGCAGCAGUAAAGAUGACUCUGAAGAAUGGCAUGGGAUGGAUCCUUUUGAAUGCACUUGAGCAGCGGUCUCCAACCACAGGGCCACAGAGCUGGAGCUGGAUCUACCAUGAAAGACUUCUGAAUCCAGGAAGAGUGACUGGGCAACAUGUUAUUCAGGGUCUCCCUCUGUUGUCCAAGGCUGGAGUGUAGUAGUGCUAUCACAGCUGACUGCAGCCUCAACCUUCCAGGCUGAAGCGAUCCUCCCAUCUCAACCUCCCACGUGGCUGAGACUAUAGGUGCUUGCCACUAUGCCCAACUAAUAUUUGGAAUUUUCCUAUACGUGGAUUCCAGAGGGGUGACAGCGAAAC
rnacentral:lncRNA from 1 species